AAGACCUUGCGCUUUUGGAGCGGCCGAUGUCUGAUUAGCUAGUUGGUAGGGUAAUGGCCUACCAAAGCUUCGAUCAGUAGCUGGUCUGAGAGGACGACCAGUCACACUGGGACUGAGACACGGCCCAGACUCCUACGGGAGGCAGCAGUGGGGAAUUUUGGACAAUGGGCGCAAGCCUGAUCCAGCCAUGCCGCGUGAGUGAAGAAGGCCUUCGGGUUGUAAAGCUCUUUCAGCCGGGAAGAAAAGGCUACGACGAAUAAUCGUAGCUCAUGACGGUACCGGAAGAAGAAGCACCGGCUAACUACGUGCCAGCAGCCGCGGUAAUACGUAGGGUGCGAGCGUUAAUCGGAAUUACUGGGCGUAAAGGGUGCGCAGGCGGUUUUGUAAGUCAGAUGUGAAAUCCCCGGGCUUAACCUGGGAACU
rnacentral:rRNA from 1 species